rnacentral:rRNA from 1 species
AGUGGAUGGGGAGCAACCUAGUUGUGCGUGUGUAAAGGUAGUGCCAAGAAAAGCGGUGAUCAUGAUGAAAAUCAAUUCCCGGUACCCGAAACCGACACAGGUGGGCAAGUAGAGAAUACUAAGGGGCGCGAGGUAACUCUCUCCAAGGAACUCGGCAAAAUGACCCCGUAACUUAGGGAGAAGGGGUGCCACCGAGAGGUGGUCGCAGUGAAGAGGCCCAGGCGACUGUUUAGCAAAAACAUAGGUCUCUGCAAACUCGAAAGAGGAGGUAUAGGGGCUGACGCCUGCCCAGUGCCGGAAGGUUAAAGAAGUUGGUCAGUCUUAGGAUGAAGCUAGCGUCUGAAGCCCCGGUGAACGGCGGCCGUAACUAUAACGGUCCUAAGGUAGCGAAAUUCCUUGUCGGGUAAGUUCCGACCCGCACGAAAGGCGUAACGAUCUGGGCGCUGUCUCGGAGAGAGGCUCGGCGAAAUAGGAUUGUCUGUGAAGAUACGGACUACCUGCAUUUGGACAGAAAGACCCUAUGAAGCUUUACUAUAGCUUGGAAUUGUGUUCGGGCUUCCUGUGCGCAGGAUAGGUGGGAGGCGUAGAAGGUAUUCUUGUGGGGAUACUGGAGCCGACGGUGAGAUACCACUCUCAGGAGGCUAGAAUUCUAACUUAAUUAAGGACAGUUUCAGGUGGGUAGUUUGACUGGGGCGGUCGCCUCCAAAAAGGUAACGGAGGCGUACAAAGGUUCCCUCAGACUGGUUGGAAAUCAGUCGAAGAGUGCAAAGGCAGAAGGGAGCUUGACUGCGAGAAGUACAGUUCGAGCAGGGUGGAAACACGGUCUUAGUGAUCCGACGGUGCUGUGUGGAAGGGCCGUCGCUCAACGGAUAAAAGUUACUCUAGGAUAACAGGCUGAUCUCCCCCAAGAGUUCACAUCGACGGGGAGGUUUGGCACCUCGAUGUCGGCUCAUCGCAACCUGGGGCGGAAGUACGUCCCAAGGGUUGGGCUGUUCGCCCAUUAAAGCGGUACGUGAGCUGGGUUCAGAACGUCGUGGGACAGUUCGGUCCAUAUCCGAUGUAGGCGUGAGAAUAUUGAGAGGAGCCUUCCUUAGUACGAGAGGACCGGGAAGGACGCACCGCUGGUGUACCUGUUAUGAUGCCAAUUGUAAACGCAGGGUAGCCAAGUGCGGAGAGGAUAACCGCUGAAAGCAUCUAAGUGGGAAGCCCACCUCAAGA